rnacentral:rRNA from 1 species
GGGUUGUGAGGUUAAGCGACUAAGCGUACACGGUGGAUGCCCUGGCAGUCAGAGGCGAUGAAGGACGUGCUAAUCUGCGAUAAGCGUCGGUAAGGUGAUAUGAACCGUUAUAACCGGCGAUUUCCGAAUGGGGAAACCCAGUGUGAUUUGUCACACUAUCAUUAACUGAAUCCAUAGGUUAAUGAGGCGAACCGGGGGAACUGAAACAUCUAAGUACCCCGAGGAAAAGAAAUCAACCGAGAUUCCCCCAGUAGCGGCGAGCGAACGGGGAGGAGCCCAGAGCCUGAAUCAGUGUGUGUGUUAGUGGAAGCGUCUGGAAAGGCGCGCGAUACAGGGUGACAGCCCCGUACACAAAAAUGCACAUGCUGUGAGCUCGAUGAGUAGGGCGGGACACGUGGUAUCCUGUCUGAAUAUGGGGGGACCAUCCUCCAAGGCUAAAUACUCCUGACUGACCGAUAGUGAACCAGUACCGUGAGGGAAAGGCGAAAAGAACCCCGGCGAGGGGAGUGAAAAAGAACCUGAAACCGUGUACGUACAAGCAGUGGGAGCGCGCUUCGGCG